rnacentral:rRNA from 1 species
CACCGCCCGUCAGCCAUGGAAGUCUGGGGUACCUGAAGUCGGUGACCGUAACAGGAGCUGCCUAGGGUAAAACAGGUAACUAGGGCUAAGUCGUAACAAGGUAGCCGUACCGGAAGG